GAUUAAGUUAUUAAGGGCGCACGGUGGAUGCCUUGGCACUAGAAGCCGAUGAAGGACGUUACUAACGACGAUAUGCUUUGGGGAGCUGUAAGUAAGCUGUGAUCCAGAGAUUUCCGAAUGGGGGAACCCAAUACGAGUUAUGUCGUAUUAUCGAUACGUAAAUACAUAGCGUAUCGAAGGUAGACGCGGAGAACUGAAACAUCUUAGUACCCGCAGGAAGAGAAAGAAAAAUCGAUUCCCUGAGUAGCGGCGAGCGAAACGGGAAGAGCCCAAACCAACGAGCUUGCUUGUUGGGGUUGUAGGACACUCAAUACGGAGUUACAAAGGAAUAGAUUAGACGAAGCAUCUGGAAAGAUGCAUCAAAGAAGGUAAUAAUCCUGUAGUCGAAAAUCUGUUCUCUCUUGAGUGGAUCCUGAGUACGACGGAACACGAGAAAUUCCGUCGGAAUCUGGGAGGACCAUCUCCCAAGGCUAAAUACUCUCUAGUGACCGAUAGUGAACCAGUACCGUGAGGGAAAGGUGAAAAGUACCCCGGAAGGGGAGUGAAAGAGAACUUGAAACCGUGUGCUUACAAGUAGUCAGAGCCCGUUAAUGGGUGAUGGCGUGCCUUUUGUAGAAUGAACCGGCGAGUUACGAUUUGAUGCAAGGUUAAGCAGUGAAUGUGGAGCCGUAGCGAAAGCGAGUCUGAAUAGGGCGUUGAGUAUUUGGUCGUAGACCCGAAACCAGGUGAUCUACCCUUGACCAGGUUGAAGUUCAGGUAACACUGAAUGGAGGACCGAACCGACUUACGUUGAAAAGUGAGCGGAUGAGUUGAGGGUAGCGGAGAAAUUCCAAUCGAACCUGGAGAUAGCUGGUUCUCUCCGAAAUAGCUUUAGGGCUAGCCUCAAGUGAUGAUUAUUGGAGGUAGAGCACUGUUUGGACGAGGGGCCCUUCUCGGGUUACCGAAUUCAGACAAACUCCGAAUGCCAAUCAAUUUAACUUGGGAGUCAGAACGCGGGUGAUAAGGUCCGUGUUCGAAAGGGAAACAGCCCAGACCACCAGCUAAGGUCCCAAAAUAUAUGUUAAGUGGAAAAGGAUGUGGCGUUGCCCAGACAACUAGUAUGUUGGCUUAGAAGCAGCCAUCAUUUAAAGAGUGCGUAAUAGCUCACUAGUCGAGUGACACUGCGCCGAAAAUGUACCGGGGCUAAACAUAUUACCGAAGCUGUGGAUUGUCCGUAGGACAAUGGUAGGAGAGCGUUCUAAGGGCGUUGAAGCAUGAUCGCAAGGACAUGUGGAGCGCUUAGAAGUGAGAAUGCCGGUGUGAGUAGCGAAAGACGGGUGAGAAUCCCGUCCACCGAUUGACUAAGGUUUCCAGAGGAAGGCUCGUCCGCUCUGGGUUAGUCGGGUCCUAAGCUGAGGCCGAUAGGCGUAGGCGAUGGAUAACAGGUUGAUAUUCCUGUACCACCAUGAAUCGUUUUAAGCGAUGGGGGGACGCAGUAGGAUAGGCGAAGCGUACGAUUGGAUUGUACGUCCAAGCAGUAAGACUGAGUGUUAGGCAAAUCCGGCACUCAUAAGGUCAAGCUGUGAUGGGGAGAGGAAAUUG
rnacentral:rRNA from 1 species